GUCUAUGGCCAUACCACCCUGAAUGUGCCCAAUCUCUUCUGAUUUCAGAAGCUAAGCAGCCCAGGCCUGGUUGGUAUUUAGAUGGGGAGAUUCUAGGAAAUUACACGCAGGUAUGCUCC
ensembl:rRNA 5S_rRNA 5S ribosomal RNA